rnacentral:sRNA from 1 species
CAGUCUGUCGCGAACGCAUUGUGGAUUGUCAAGUAUUACUCAAGAAAUUCAGUUCAUGAAGAUAAGAAGUUUCUUGACAAAUACAUGCCCCAGUUCAUGAAACAUCUUCAUUAUAGAAUAAUUGAUGUGAGCACUGUUAAAGAACUGUGCAGACGCUGGUAUCCAGAAGAAUAUGAAUUUGCACCAAAGAAGGCUGCUUCUCAUAGGGCACUUGAUGACAUUAGUGAAAGCAUCAAAGAGCUUCAGUUUUACCGAAAUAAUAUCUUCAAGAAAAAAAUAGAUGAAAAGAAGAGGAAAAUUAUAGAAAAUGGGGAAAAUGAGAAGACCGUGAGUUGAUGCCAGUUAUCAUGCUGCCACUACAUAGUUAUCUGGAGGCAACUUCUGGUGGUUUUUUUUUUUCCUCACGCUGAUGGCUUGGCAGAGCACCUUCGGUUAACUUGCAUCUCCAGAUUGAUUACUCAAGCAGACAGCACACGAAAUACUAUUUUUCUCCUAAUAUGCUGUUUCCAUUAUGACACAGCAGCUCCUUUGUAAGUACCAGGUCAUGUCCAUCCCUUGGUACAUAUAUGCAUUUGCUUUUAAACCAUUUCUUUUGUUUAAAUAAAUAAAUAAGUAAAUAAAGCUAGUUC